AACGAACGCUGGCGGCAGGCUUAACACAUGCAAGUCGAGCGCCCCGCAAGGGGAGCGGCAGACGGGUGAGUAACGCGUGGGAAUGUACCCUUUGCUACGGAAUAGCUCCGGGAAACUGGAAUUAAUACCGUAUGUGCCCUACGGGGGAAAGAUUUAUCGGCAAAGGAUCGGCCCGCGUUGGAUUGGCUAGUUGGUGGGGUAAUGGCCUACCAAGGCGACGAUCCAUAGCUGGUCUGAGAGGAUGAUCAGCCACAUUGGGACUGAGACACGGCCCAAACUCCUACGGGAGGCAGCAGUGGGGAAUAUUGGACAAUGGACGCAAGCCUGAUCCAGCCAUGCCGCGUGAGUGAUGAAGGCCUUAGGGUUGUAAAGCUCUUUCACCGGAGAAGAUAAUGACGGUAUCCGGAGAAGAAGCCCCGGCUAACUUCGUGCCAGCCGCCGCUGUAAAAC
rnacentral:rRNA from 1 species